rnacentral:tRNA from 1 species
GCCGUCCAAGCUCAGUGGUAGAGCGUGUGACUUUUAACCACGUGGUCGUGGAUUCGAUCCCCCAUGGACGGCG